rfam:Hordeum vulgare subsp. vulgare, WGS project CAJW01000000 data, contig: morex_contig_135892
UUUGUGGGGAACGUUGGCUGGCUCGAGGCAUCCUUGCCGACGGCGCGGGUUGAGGCGUCGGACCAGGCUUCAUUCCUUUCAAA